rnacentral:misc_RNA from 1 species
GAUGAAGAACGUAGCGAAAUGCGAUACGUAAUGUGAAUUGCAGAAUUCAGUGAAUCAUCGAAUCUUUGAACGCAUAUUGCGCUCUCUGGUAUUCCGGAGAGCAUGCUUGUUUGAGUAUCAGUAAACACCUCAACUCCCUUUUCUUUUUUGAAAUGGGAGCUGGACUUGAGUGAUCCCAACACUUUUCUCACUGGAAAGUGGCGGGUCACUUGAAAUGCAGGUGCAGCUGGACUUUUCUCUGAGCUAUAAGCAUAUCUAUUUAGUCUGCCUAAAAAACAGAUUAUCACCUUUGCUGCAGCUAACAUAAAGGAGAUGAGUUCUUGUGCUGACUGAUGCAGGAUUCACAGAGACAGCUUUGCGGCUGACUUUGUAAACUCGAUCUCAAAUCAAGUAAGACUACCCGCUGAACUUAAGCAUAUCAAUAAGCGGAGGA